UGGAAACGGAGAGGCAACACAACGACUUGCAAGCAGGAAGCUCCGUUUCUCGCUGCUGUUUUUACUGUUUUCGAAGAAAAACAAAAGCACGGCAAGAUGGGAUGGCUCCAAGAUUUCACAAUUUCUGAAGGGAACCGCAGACGGAGAAGUAAGGAACACAAGUGAACAGACUCAGAGCGGACCUCCUGUCGGACAACAUCUCCCAGGCACAAUGAACAAUAUGGUUGGUUACUAGAGAUUACACCAGUUCCAGUUUGGAUCCAGCCUCGCGUGUGAAGACUUCAGAAGACGCAAGCACUCACAAAGACUUCAGAGGAUGGCAACUAGAUGAACAUACAAAGCUGCCAAAUAAUCCUUAUAUUGUAAUCAUUGCCCUAAAAGGUUUUCUGGAUUCCCAGUUGAAGACAUCAGUACAUCAGAUGUUGGCCUGGACAGCUAUAUCUACAGUACACCACACUGACCUCUCUGCUUUUGCAUAGAUGGCUGACUACUAUCAUAGUAGUAUUAUGUUCUAAGGCAGGGAUACUCAAGUUCAGAGGCCAAGCGGGCCGCAUUUAAACUACAUAUUGCUAUAAUAUAAUAUAAACCACAAAUUACAAUUUGCAUCAUCAGACUUAAGACAAUAUUUGCAGAUUUACUGAUUUAGAAAUACAGUUUAUUACUUAUCUAAGUCUUGCUUGUCCUUGUCCUAUUUAAAAUAAGACUGAGCAUGAAAUAAAUAUAAAUAUAUAUAUAUUUUUUUUUAAAGAGUAAAAAUCUGGAACAAAAAAUUGGAUUAAAAGUUUGUUUUGCUAUAUUGAACAGAGUAGCCUAUUGAACAAACUCAAAAUGCUAAAACUAAAAACAUUCUUGAGCAAACAUAGUUCACAAAGUACUUUAGGAAGAAGUAUUAUUUUUCAUAUUUAUAUUUUUUAAAUAGAUUUCACUAUUCUCCCACCAUGAUUCUGAAAAAUGUAAUUUACUAGAGUUUCUAGAAAAAAAAUUGCUGCUGUCUAUUUAUAGAAUACAAUAUUCAACGAACUGAUAAAGUGAAACAAAUGAUUCAUAACUCGUAACUUCAUGACUUGCUCAUGAAGACUUCACUUGUUUCAUUCCUGAAUGAAUCAAUGUUUUUUGAACGAAUCUCAGUUUAAGUAACUUGUCUCCACCUGCUGGCGUUAUGUUGUAAUUGAUACAAUCUUUAUUAGAAUAAUUCACCUUUUUGAAAGUGAAGAUGCUUCAAUUUUGAUCGCUUCUGUAUAACGAUACAAAAGACUUUGUAAAGAUGUUUCACAUAAGUAAACUGCUCUCUCUGGAUCAGCGCGAACGCAGAUUUGAACGUUACAUUGUGAUUUAAGGCUUUAAUAGACAUGAAUCCUGUCAUUUAUGAACAAGAUUGCGUGGGUGAUUGGAUCUGUUCGCGAUUUAUUUAAAUAUCCAACAGUAUACGACAAUAAACAUACGACGUGAUGGUUUAACUGUGUUCUUCAAGCCAUCUUUGGUAUUUUCAUAAUAAAGUAUAUUUAUAGUCCAAUGAUAAUUGACAUUGCCUUUACUGUAUAGUAGGGGUGGGAGAAAAAAAUCGAUUCUCCGAUGCAUCGCAAUUCUCUCUUCAGCGAUUCUGAAUCGAUUCAGAAUAUUUCAAAAUCGAUUCUGAGCUUGUUUAUUUUUUUUAUAUUUUUAUAUAGCACGUGUGCGCGCUAGAGAUGCGGCGGGCUUCAUUGCACAGAAUUUGCGCUGUGAGACAGACUUUCACGUGCGCUUUGUGUUUGUUUGUCCUGAAGCUCGAUUGCGGCUGCGGUUAAAUGCACUUGCAUUUUCGAAUAUUUUUAUACGAAAUUGAUGUACACACAGUCAGUUAUGUUUUCAGAGCAGGACAAAACAUCUGCUAUAUCGAAAUAGAUCUGUGCAUUAACUAGCAGUCAUUAGAGUAUUAGUAGUAUGUCUGCUAAAUAUAUGCUAACACUUUCUUUUGAUGAUUCCCCAACAGACAAACUGACUAUAAGUAACUUUGCAAGUACGUCAACAUUCUACCGACCCUAACCUUAACCUAAACCUACUAAUACUCUAAUGAGAGUUAGUUGACAUGUAGUUGCAAAGUUGCUUAUAGUCAAUAGACUAAGGGGACCAUCAAAAUAAAAUGUAACCUAACAAAUAAACACUGCAUUUUUUUUUCAGUUGAAAUGAUUAAUUAGCUCACAUUAAAAUUAAUAUUAGCCUCACAGGAAACACUCAAAUAACACUCCACACCUAACCACUUACAAGAUGUACUGUAGUAAGAUACUAUGUAGAUCUUAAAUAAUGUCAAGAUAUAUAGUCCAUUAUAAAUGUAAAAGUAGAUUUAAUAUGGUGUUCAUUGUGUUAUAAAUAAUCAUUAAUCUUAAAAGUUAUAACCACAAAUGCAUAAGCAUUAUAAUGUAUUGUUAUUAUGAUUAUUUAUAAGACGAUAUAAGGCCGUGUUCACACUUGGCGUCUUUUUUGACUAGAAAAAGUUGACGAGAGCGCUUUUUUAAUGAAAAAAAAAGCUGGCAGCGUCUGUUACAAAUAGCAGCCUAGAGUGUCUUUUGUUUCCAUAGCAACAGCUGCAAAGGUAGCAGCUUUUACUACUGUGAUUGUAUAGGUUACAUUUAAUUUAUAAAAAAAUCAAACUGCCUAAUAUUUUGAGCGCAACCUGUAAUAAAAAUACAUUAAUCUUCAGCAUGACGCAGGCCACAAAAUUAAUGCAGACGGGCCACCUGUUGAGUACCCCUGUCUAAGGUAUUAUAGCAAAACUGAGCACCUGUGACAGUGGAAUGUGUAGGUGUAAAGAAUAGUCACACGUGCGUAUUACAGGUAGUAAAUUUACAGUCACAGAGAAAAGUGUUUUUUUUUUUUUUUUAGGAGUUCCAAAUGUUUUUUUUACUCUUUCUCUCUAACAAACACAACACAACAGUUACAUCAUUUCAAAUUCAGAGAUUCAAAUCAUAUUCUACAAAUCACAAAUUAAGAAACUUAUGUGAAUGUGGGGCAAAACACAUUCACACACCCGAAUCAAAAAUGUGAAGUCAUGAACAAAUUUUGCACAUUUGCAUAUAUACAGUCAUAGUCAGAACUAUUGGCACCCUUGGUAAAUAUAAACAAAAGUCUGUAAAAAUAAAUCUGCAUUGUCAAUCCUUUUUAAUAAAAGAUCAAAAAGUGGGUGGGGGGAAGCUCAUUAGGAGUAAUCUUUUUUUUUCUCUAAUACACAUUGGCCGCAGUUAAUGGCACCCUUUUAUUCAGAACUUUUUGCAAUCUCCUUUUGCCACAAUAACAGCUCUGAGUCUCUCCUAUAAUGCCCGGUGAGUUUGGAGCUCACCUGACAAGAGAUCUUUGGAGAGUCUUUGGCCACUCAAACCAUCCUCCUCACCUUGCAUAUAGACAAUAUAGACACACAUCCUCUUCCAGGCAGAUCUGUGUCAUUUUAAACAGUACAGAUUUAUUUUUACAGACUUCUUCGAUCAUAUUAACUAAGGGUGCCAAUAAUUCUGACCACGACUGUAAAGUAGAACUUUUAUGUGAGAUCUCACAUGACAUAUCAGAAUGUGAGAUUCCACUUGCACACUUGAUUAGAAUUUGAAAUUCGAUCAAACUGAAUAGAAUUGAACUGAAUAGAAUAGAAUAGGUAAGUGAUAGCAUUAAUUGGUCAGGUGUUGAUGAAAAAGAUGUGUCUUUAGACGUUUUUUGAAAAUGGCUAAAGACUCAAAGCUAAAGCUGCUUGAAUUGAGAUGGGCAGGUCAUUGCAACAUGAACUUAUCUACAAAUACCACAGUUAAAUUCUGGAAAAAUGAAAUAUAGCCCUGCAUAAAUCUGGUAUAACAGCCUGUGAAUUUCGUAAUUUGUGAUUUGUAGAAUAGGAUUUAUGCACCUGCAGUGAAGAUUGAGAAGGUUUUGUUGGUUUGAGAGAGAAAGAAACAAAAUACAAGUUUGCAAUUCCUAAAACAUUUUCUUGAUGACUUUACUGAAAUAUUCUCUACACAUACAAAUUCCACGGUCGCAGGUGCUCAGUUUUGCUACAAUAAUUCUAGACACAAUAGACAUGUACUGUAUGCAAAUAUAAAAAAGGGACAUAAACAACUGAAUAUUCAGGGAUGCAAACUUAUCACCUUUAAGUGAAAAUUGUAAUUUUGAAUCUAAAAUAGAUCAUUUGCGUGAUUUGUGUAGAUCCAAAGAGUUUUUAAAAGUGUGAGUAGUAAGUAGUAAAAGUAGUAUUGACUCAUUUUAGAUACCUGCUGAAAUUGACUUCUUUCAAAUGCUCCUGUGUGUAUAUUUGUGGUUUGGAAUUAGUAAAAUGUGCUUAGAAAAAAAAAUAUAUAAUCCGAAUAUUGACUGGCUAUCGACUAUAAUGCACGCUCUGUAUAAUCCAUUCACAAGUGGAAUAGUGACAACCGUAUUUACCUAAUUACAGGAGUCAUUCUGCGAGUCACUUCUUAAACUGCUAUGAUUAAGAUAGACUUAAUAGACUAGCAAAAGCAAAAUUUAGCAGCUUCAACAUUUAGAUAAAAACUUAAAGCACUUUUUUCACGUCGUUUUUUGUUUAAAAUAGACCUAUAUGAUGUGACAGAAAUCGUCCACUAAUGAAGAUUAGAAAUUUACAUUUUACAUAAAAUGUAAUUUUAUAUGAAAAUAUACAAAAUAUAAUAUUUUUGAUGCAAAUAAUUAAAAAAGUACCCCCCAAAUGCUGCACAACUUUAAAGAAACUGUAAUUAUGGAGUGAUAUUACAUGUAUAAAAAGCAAUUAAAAAUUUACUUUGUGUAUGACUGAUAUUACAAUUGUGGGUUAGGUAUAAAAUAACAUGAUUUUUUUUAUUAUUAGGGUCCAAGCCAGAAUGGCGAGGGCCCUAUUGUUUCCUUCAGGAUUAUUAUUUUUUUUAUUUUAUUUUUUCGACUAUCCGGGCAUUUUUGGGGGCCUUAACAUGCUCAAAAACUCUUGAAAAUUUGCACACACGUUGGAAUCUGCGGUCAUUAGGACGCCGCAGAGGCUGGGACCCGGGCGUGGCACGGGGCUCUACGUCGCCCCCUGGAACACAGUCUGAAAACUUGAUGUGUAGCUCACACAUACUUGCACGUAUUCAUAUGAAACUCGGUACACAUAUAGAUCUCAUUGAGCCGAACAAUUUUCACCCUCUAUGUCAUAGGCUCCGCCCAACAGGAAGUCGGCUAUUUAGGGCUGUUUGAAAAGCACAUGCUCUGGAAUUUGAAAUACUCCUCUGAGGACUUCCAUACGAUUGCCACCAAACUCAGUGAACAUGAUUUCAAGACAUUGGGGAUGCUAAAUUGAGGAGGGAUUUUUGAUAUCUCGAACGGUUUGCCCGUGGCGAGGUGAUGAAUUAUGGUGAAAAAUGAGAGACAGGAAAUGUCUAAUAACAUCCACAUACAUUGUCUGAUUUUGAUCAAACGUCAAGGGUUUGUUCGUUGUACGAUGCCGAUCGAAUAGAUGUGACUAUUAUGAGAUAAAGUUAUAGCGCCACCAACUGGCAGCAGGAAAUGUGUCAAUUUCAAAAUGCUUUGAAUUCAGCAUCUUAUUUUUACCCGAUUUGCUUCAAACUUCAUCAGAAUAAUGACAAAACACGGCCGAUGUAAAACUGUGAAGGGAAUAUUGAUAUCUAAAAUAUUGUUGCCAUGGUAAUAUGUCAAAGUUGAAUAUUUUUUUUUGGUUAUUUUGAGGCAGAUAACAUGCUUAGAAUUCCAUGAAACUCAAUACACAUAUUCGUAUUAAUGAUAGUUAGACACCGGAAAAAGCUCAUAAAUGGGCGUGGAAGAGGCACUCUAUAGCGCCACCUUUUGUCAAAAGUUUGGGGGUUAGUUUUAGCUACAGACGCCAAACUCGGUACAUAAAUUGUUCUUAUUAAGCCGGACAACUUUCUAAUUUACAGUCAUUAGCUACGACCAA